rnacentral:tRNA from 1 species
GCAGUCGUGGCGAAAUUGGCAGACGCGCCGGAUUUAGGUUCCGGUGGGAAACCGUAUGGGUUCGAGUCCCUUCGACUGCACCA